GCGUGCAAUUCUCAACGGUAGACAAUUUUAAUACCAAGAGGGAAUUAAACUGAUUGAAUGUUAAAUUAUCUAAAAUGAGCUCAUGAACUCGUCAAUCUUAAUUCGUCUUAGUAAGAAAGUCAUUAAACAUGGUACAAUUAACCACUGAAUUCGAACAGAGAACAUUCGUAAUCAAAAGUUUUACGAAACAAAUAGCUUGCAGCAGACUCGCGUUGCUUUUGGAUCGAUUAACUUUGCAUAAUUAAUGUAUUUUCAAUUCCCAACGGUGGAAGAAUGUGAUUUCGACCGGCAAUAUUUUUUGACGAGUAUGUUGC